rnacentral:rRNA from 1 species
GACGAACGCUGGCGGCGUGCCUAAUACAUGCAAGUAGAACGCUGAAGGAGGAGCUUGCUCUUCUGGAUGAGUUGCGAACGGGUGAGUAACGCGUAGGUAACCUGCCUGGUAGCGGGGGAUAACUAUUGGAAACGAUAGCUAAUACCGCAUAACAGUAGAUGUUGCAUGACAUUUACUUAAAAGGUGCAAUUGCAUCACUACCAGAUGGACCUGCGUUGUAUUAGCUAGUUGGUGGGGUAACGGCUCACCAAGGCGACGAUACAUAGCCGACCUGAGAGGGUGAUCGGCCACACUGGGACUGAGACACGGCCCAGACUCCUACGGGAGGCAGCAGUAGGGAAUCUUCGGCAAUGGACGGAAGUCUGAACGAGCAACGCCGCGUGAGUGAAGAAGGGUGUCGGAUCGUAAAGCUCUGUUGUAAGAGAAGAACGAGUGUGAGAGUGGAAAGUUCACACUGUGACGGUAUCUUACCAGAAAGGGACGGCUAACUACGUG